AACGCACAUUGCGCCUUAUGGUAAUCCGUGAGGCAUACCUGUUCGAGCGCCGUUUGUGUCUUAAGGCUUUGCCUUGCGUUGAUCUUUCUGUCGUGCAUCAGCAUGACAAGAUCGAAACACAUUGGCGCCUGCUCCUGGCCCGAAUCGCAGCGAAAAUGCGUGUGAAGGCUCUUGGGGGUGGGUUUCUUGUUUAGAUUCUGACGGCAUUUUUGCUGUUUUGAAUCUCAAAAAACAUGGCCUCGGAUCAGGUAGGGAUACCCGCUGAACUUAA
rnacentral:misc_RNA from 1 species